CAUAGCAUCAGCAUGAUGACAACGCUGUUAGCCAAAUUGCCACAACAUAAGGGUCAGGUGGAAACAGAACAAACAUCGGAAUAAACAUAAGCUGUCGGGUUAACAGCCCCAGCCCUUUCUGUUUCACUUCUCUGUAACAAAGACACGGAUGACAAAUGCUACCGUGCUCAUUAGCCAAGACAAGCUGAAGAGAAUGAAGCGCUUCCCAUCAAAUUUAGCUGAUGCUACAAAGAAAAGCAACUACAUCAGACAUGAAGAGGAAUUACUUCGCUGCAUGGGUUACAGGAUUACAGGUCAUGUUAUAUAUAUGCAAAAUCUCAUGUUUGUUUUUGUCCCAUAUUGGCAUUAAUACCUACAAUAUUUACAUACAAUUUAUGUUUUGAUCCUUACACCAUGUUGAUCAAAAAUGCUGCUUAAAACACUGGGUUUAUUAAUAGGCUAGAAUGCACCUCUGUUCUUGUAAUUUCAGGUAGAUGCCACUAGAGGACUAUAAAGCUCAUGGAUUAUUGCACACAUCUAUAAAACAUUUCGAUAAUUUUAUGUUUUUAUGUAUCUGCCUACUGUGGGAAAUGUCACAGAGAGCCCACUCUCUCUCAAAAACACAGAUUUUGGCCGGUUAUUGCAAGCACAUGUUUGUUUGUUUGUUUGUUUGUUUUAAUUUCUCAGUGUCCCCUGGCAGAAUAAUUACAAGAGUAGUAAUUACAGUCACAAGUUGCAAACCCCCGAAGGAACUGCAGGCAAUUAAAGGUAGGAGGAUGAAGAUAAUUACAAGCUUACUAAAUUCAGUCGAAUUCUCAGAUCCCAAAUCUUACCUGCCCUCCUCACCCUGGGCACCGUGUCUGAGGAGCGUGUGAGGACAUGAUCUGUUCCACCACAAGUGAAGAAUCACAGUCCUUAAACGACGAUUAAAUCACCCACAGAUGCGUGAACACUGUGAUGAAACCAAAUUCUUACUGUGAACUGAUCGCCAACUUCCUUUGUUUUACAUGUACACUGAACACACACAGUUACAAGAGGUUGUCAAGUAUAAUGUUUUGAAUUUUAGUAAUUAAAUAAAUGAGAUUAAAUGUGUGACUUCUCUCUUUUAGAAACUGUACAUUAGUUCGGUAGUUUUUAUGUGGAUUUAAUUAUGUGACAUAGUCGAAUAUUACAAGCUAUGUAUGAUCAAACAGUGUUGCACUAGUGGCGGUGUAAGUGGGACUGACUCAAGAUUUAUUGCUAGAUCGUAUAUAAACGAUAGGCUGAUUCUCAGCAGUGAAUUGUGAAGGUAAGCCCUUUGUCAGUCAUACACUAGUUAAAAGACACUAUUACAUAUUUCCUCUUAAACCAUAAUUUAUAAAAUGACACAGGAUUAAAUUGGCCUUGAGACUAGCAUACGAGACCAUAAAGUCAUCAGGAAAGUGUCUGCAGACGUCGUAAAUCAAAAGCGAAGGGUCAUUUUCUAAUAUGGUCAUACAACAAGACUUUUUGCAACCAUGAGAUCUGCCCCUACUGACCAUUAAAAAAGGAGAUUUAAGCAUAGACUGCAUUUAAAGUCCAGUUCAGUUGCUUAAAUUAGUAGAUGUGAGGUGUAGGAGCUAAAGCUGCAUGUACCAACACAUCAGUUAAUCAAAUAACUACAAGCUUUAUCAGUAUCCCGGGAAAAAAAUGUACUCACAUUACAACUUUUUGCAUUGGCCUGACUUUAAAGCUCAAGAGGUACUACUUAGGUUUAAUGCAAUUUUUAUAGUUUGACCUGGUUGAGACCAUGAAAUACACUGGAUUGGCUCAAAAACUUACAUUUGUGCAUGGUAAAUCACUGUAUACAUAAUGCUAUAUAUACACCAGACUGCAGUGUGUCUGAGUCAUCAGAGUAACAAAAAGGCCCAAAACUCUGGAUUAUUCAUGUGCAUUUGAAAAAAAGAGGAAUAAGGUACAUUAAACUUUGGUUAUGCAAAUAAAGAAAAAAGUUUUCUACUUUCUACAUUCUCUGAAAUCAUCCAGAGUUGGUCCAGGAAGGUAGAACACACAUUUCCACACAAAGUUAAGAAUUUAAUUAUUUGUUUAUUUAUUAAUUUAUUUAUGUAUUUCUAUCUCCAGAAUCACCCACCCGAAAAAUAUAAAUUCCGGUGUAUUCCAAAAAAAAAAAAAAAGAGAGAGAGAGAGAGAAAGAAAAAAAGGAACAAUGGCAUCUUCAUCAACUGCAUCAAAGGAAUUAAU